GUGCCUGGUGCCUUUUGCUCCCUGUGUCUGACUCCCUGCCUGAGCUCAGCAGUGUGUUGCUGCCUUCACCAACACCCUGCCUUGAAAGGCUUCCCCUUGACUCAGAUCAACUUGGUGAACAGAGUAAAGGAGGUUACUGCCAGAGUGAACUGAGAUUGGAGGUGGUUUAUGUUAAUGCUGCAGUCUGUAGACUGUACUUGCUCAGGAUUUUAUCCAGGAGGAUCAGCUGCUCUCGCUGGAGGAUGGUGACCUCUGGCAGAUACACAGGACAGAGACAGCUGCUUCAGCUUUCCCAGCUAAACCUGCUUAAGUUGGUAUUCCUGUGUGUCUUCACAAGAAGAACCAUAUCAUGGUCCUGUUCUGACAACAUAGGCUCAAUGAAAUGAAGAGGAGGAGCAAGUUUUCUGCUGUUGCCAUGCUAUACAAUACCAUGCCAUGGAAAAGUAAAAAUAUAGUCAAUUGCUUUUUCUGCUUGAUAGUCACAAGAUUAAAGAGGUGAGUAUAUGUAAUGAUACUUGGGGACAAGUUAUAGAGACAAUAAUUUCCUAUCCUGUUACAUCCUCUCUGAAAAGCAGCAUUUAUUGUCUGCUUUCAG
rnacentral:lncRNA from 14 species